rnacentral:lncRNA from 1 species
UCUUUUAACGUAUAAAAUGCUAGGUUAAACAUACUAACCUUGCACAUCAUCAUCAUAAAUACUGGAGCAGCAAGCUUGAAUAUUUGGAGAAGUUCAUUAGCAAUUAGCUGAUGAAAAAACGCCAUUGUUGCCCAUAUGCUGCUCUAGUGAUACCAUAGUCCAAGAAUAAGCAGAGGACCACAUCACCAAUGCCAUUGAUAAGACUUGCAAUUGCCAUUGCCUUCAAAGGUCCCCACGAAUCGU